rnacentral:tRNA from 1 species
GAUCUUUGUAGUGUAUGGUAACACACUUCAUUUUCGUUGAUGAGAAGAGAUAAAAAUUUCCUAAGAUA